UUAUAAGAGACAGCAGCAGCCGCGGUAAUACGAAGGGUGCAAGCGUUACUCGGAAUUACUGGGCGUAAAGCGUGCGUAGGUGGUGGUUUAAGUCCGUUGUGAAAGCCCUGGGCUCAACCUGGGAAUUGCAGUGGAUACUGGGUCACUAGAGUGUGGUAGAGGAUAGUGGAAUUUCCGGUGUAGCAGUGAAAUGCGUAGAGAUCGGAAGGAACAUCUGUGGCGAAGGCGACUAUCUGGGCCAACACUGACACUGAGGCACGAAAGCGUGGGGAGCAAACAGGAUUAGAUACCCCCGUAGUCCCUGUCUCUUAUAC
rnacentral:rRNA from 1 species